CGCGGCCAAGAACCCCUUCACACGUGUAGACAAAGAGACCAUCAACACAACCCAAACAUGCAGGGAAAGUUUUCCAGGACCUCGCGAAGCGCCCAGGCCAGCAUGCACGGGUCUGCGAGUACUGGAUAACUUCUGCUUUCAACGGACGCCCUUUGAAGGAUUUAUUUAAUGAUUAUUUUUCACUGUGGAAUAUUAUUACUGUCCUUCGGGAUUAUUGGACUAUUCAUAAUGAGAAUGAUUACUUUCAACGUAUAGACACCAUGGACAAACAAAAGGUAAGUGCCCUACAUUUAAAACGCAUUUAAUUGUAAUUAUUUUU
ensembl:lncRNA